AUAAAAGAACAAUUUCGGUUCCCACUCCACUUGACGCUUCUUCACUCUCGUUCAGCAUUCCACCAUUUUUGGUGAGGAUAACUCAUUUUUUUCCGGGUAAAAUUCUAUCAAAUGGCCGUUGCUUCACUCUUGCUGGUGCAAAUCUUUUCGUUUCCAAACCCAAAAUUCCAACAUUCAACAUUCAUAAAAACAAGAACAAAAUGGUUUCCCAACAAAUUUUCCAACUCCUCUUCAAUUGCCCACGAAAGGGUUCGAUUCUCUUUCAUCACCUGUUGUUCUUCAUCUUCUCCAUCACCGCCCGAGAAGGAGCCUCAAACGGCUGAGUCUUGCGUCAACUUGGGUCUCUCUCUCUUUUCCCGAGGACGGGUUAGAGAAGCCCUAGUACAGUUUGAUACAGCACUUAGCUCAAAUCCUAAUACCAUGGAGGCUCAAGCAGCACUCUACAAUAAAGCAUGUUGUCAUGCUUAUAGGGGGGAGGGAAAGCAAGCUUCUGAGUGUUUGCGUACUGCUCUCAAAGAAUAUAACCUCAAAUUUGGCACCAUCCUCAAUGAUCCAGACUUAGCCUCCUUCAGAGUUUUACCAGAAUUCAAGGAAUUACAAGAAGAGGCAAGGCUUGGGGGUGAGGAUGUAGGUUACAGUUUCAGGAGAGACCUCAAGCUCAUUAGUGAAGUCCAAGCCCCAUUUCGUGGAAUUCGGAGAUUUUUUUAUGUGGCUUUUGCAACAGCAGCAGGAAUCUCCACUUUCUUCACGAUACCUCUAUUAUUUCGUGCAAUACAAGGAGGCGAAGGUGCUCCUGAUCUGUUAGGGACCGCUGGAAAUGCUGCUGUAAAUAUUGGAGGCAUUGUUGUUCUGGUGGCACUCUUUAUUUGGGAUAAUAGGAAAGAGGAAGAGCAGCUUGCACAAAUAUCUCGAGAUGAAACUCUGUCAAGGUUACCUUUACGUCUUUCUACGAAUAGAAUUCUUGAACUGGUCCAGCUACGGGACACUGCUAGACCGGUUAUUUUGGCUGGCAAAAGGGAGAGUGUUUCUUUGGCAAUGAAGAAAGCUGAGAGGUUCAGGACUGAGCUUCUUAAAAGAGGUCUUCUUUUAGUUCCUGUCAUUUGGGGUGAGGGUGAGGCAACUCCAGUUGAAAAGAAGGGCUUUGGGUUUCCUGUGAAGGCUGCUGCCUCUCUUCCCUCUAUUGGGGAUGACUUUGAGAAACGAGCUCAAUCUAUUACUACAAAAACAAAGCUGCAAGCUGAGAUACGAUUCAAGGCUGAGGCUGUGUCGCCAGCAGAAUGGGAAAGAUGGAUAAAGGACCAGCAAAAAUCAGAAGGCGUUACUCCUGGGGAGGACGUAUACAUAAUACUUCGCCUAGAUGGUCGUAUUCGCAGGUCAGGCAAGUUUCUUAGGUGGUGUCUGGUGUCAUUAGCCUUGAGCCAUUCCUUCAGGAUUAGGAUCUCUAAGCAUGAUUUGCAAGUGAUAUCUUGGCUCAAAGUUAGUUAUGUGAAGAGUGCAAAUGUCAAAACAUUGCAAUAUUAAAAGAACGGAAGAAGUAUCAUCUAUGCUACACUAUCUUCAGUUACAUGUUAUCUUAUGGGAUGCCUGACUGGCAGGAAAUAAUAAAGGAGCUUCCCCCUCUGGAGAAUUUGUUGAGCCAGCUAGAAAAAUGAGGUUCUUGUCUACAUACAACUGGGAACUUUAUUGAGACCACUCUAAUUUUAAUUCAGGUAUUCUCUUUUAGAUGGCAUCAACACUAAGAUCAAUCACCGGGUGCUUCUUGGAUGAUGUAAUCGGCCAGCCGGGUGCAAGCCAAGAUUUAUAAUAUGAGAAUGAUUUGGUCUCUCGAGUCUCAUCAUCUAGCAUUACAAUGUACAAGAAAAGGAUAUAAUAGGUUUUCAUUUACUUUUUUUUUUGUUGUGUUUCUUAAUUUUAUAUUUUCUAAGAAUUAAAAUAUUCAGGACGCUGCUCCUAAGGGAGUAGGGUGUGCUUUAGUUUCCGAUUUGAUGUGUGUUUUGUUGAAAUAGACAAUGUUUGGAAAGCCAUUCCACUGGCUCCGGGAUGCUCUGGCUACUGAUUCUUCUGUAAGGAAAUACUAUAUCUAUCAAAUGCAAUGUUUGAUUUUGAAUGUGCAAGGUAAA